CGGGGCGUAGCGCAAUUGGUAGCGUGCCGCGUUUGGGUCGCGGAGGUUCCGGAUUCGAGUUCCGGCGCCCCGA
rnacentral:tRNA from 1 species